rnacentral:rRNA from 1 species
UACGGAGGGUGCGAGCGUUGUCCGGAAUCACUGGGCGUAAAGGGCGCGUAGGCGGCUCGAUAAGGCUGUGGUGAAAGCCCGGGGCUCAACCCCGGGUCGGCCGUGGCGACUGUCGGGCUGGAGCACUGUAGAGGCGGGCGGAAUUCCGGGUGUAGCGGUGGAAUGCGUAGAUAUCGGGAGGAACACCUGUGGCGAAAGCGGCUCACUGGACCACAACUGACGCUGAGGCGCGAAAGCUAGGGGAGCAAACAGG